AGUUAGCUAGAGGUCAUCAAUAAAGUAACUUCCCAAAUUCCAAAUUUUACUUCCCAAGGUUUUGAUGGUUGAUUUUAUUACAAUUUCAACUUUCUAUUGACUUUCUUUAUAUUUUUCAUUAUUUUUUUAGAUAUUGAUUUAGCCGCCCUAAACAAGCUUUCUCAAGCAUUUGUACUAGUGUAUCCUUUUUUUAUUUUAAAUCGUUUAUAAUUAAUAAGUGCACCUUCAUCCUAAUUUUACAAUUGUUAACACAUAUUUACACGUUACACGAAAAGUUUCUGUUGUAAGCAUUGUCACACAUUAGUUACAGUUCAAGUUAAGCCACAAUUUUUUUUAUUAGUUAGUGGGAGUUUUGGAGACUGUUAUCCAAAAUUAUUGUCUUAAUGUUUAAGAAAAAAAACAUUGAAUUACAACUAAGAAUAAUAUUUUUGUGCAGUAAGAAAAAAUAUUAGUGAUCCAAAAAAAUAUAAAUUGAACAAUCAGCCAGCAGCUACCAUACGCAAAAAAAUACGGUUAAUCUCUAGGACAGUGUUGUCAUUCUGGAAGUCCGCUCCUCAUAAGAAAAAAAAACAAUAAUAGUAAUGCUUUGCACAGAGGCACAAACAAGUGAGUGACUUUUAAAUUUACCACUUAAUCCACACAUUCCAUAAUUUAUUUACAUUUAUUAAUAAAAUAUUCUGUGUUUCUUUCUCAUGUUUUUCAUAGAAUUCUAAAGAAAAACUGUAGACUUGACUUUGAGGGAGGAGACAGACCUUAAAAAAGAGGAUGCUACAAGGAGUUCACGGCAAAUUUUCCAGAAGUAAUUCUUCCGUACGGCUAUACCGAUGUUGUUCUUCCAGUUGAGGAGCUUGAGUCUGGGCUGUCUGCUCAUCCACAAUGGGGGCAUGGUCUUCUGUUGAUGUUUGGUCAACGAUGACAGAUGACGAUGGUGAAAAGCAUGUUGCUUGAAUAUUUUCAACAGGACUUCCCUCUACACAAAGAACAGUUUGUUAUAACUUACGUGGAGGAGUAGUGGGCAUCUCUCCACUUCCGAAGGCUGCUACUGGUGGGAUCCGAAUCCGAGUUACUAACGCUGUUAAAUCUAGAAUAAAAUCAGCACAAGCCAAGGUACUUACCAGAACUAGGCUGAGGCGUGCUUGGGGCUGAUCGCCCUGCAGAUUUUUUUCGGUGAUCUGGAAAACAUCAAGGA